GACAGAAACCCAUUUUUAACAUGAUCUACUCCAAGAACACCUACACCACCUGAAUUGGGUUUAAUUAAUUUUCUUUCCUAAUGGCCGCAGCAUUUCCACGUGUCCUACAGAGAGUGGCUAGAAUUUUAUUAAUUACACACCAGGUCAGUUGUAGCUGUACACGUGACGAGGGUUUUAGUUGAGUUAGUGAGGUGGGACUGUGGUAGUUAAGUGGUUAUGGUUCAAGAAACUUUUUUUUUUUUUUUUUGGAGAAAGUGAAGAAACUUUGUUCAGGCAUUUUCUCAAACAUGGUGGAGGCAUCAAUGUUAAGGGAGGCUAGGAUUGAUGUUAAACAAUGUUUCAGAUCUGAGAUGGUAAACGAUGUUUACAACCGACGAUGCGCCGGCCUCUUCCGAAGGCAGUGAGGGCUACGACACCGAUGAUGCUGGGCCGACGUUUGUUUGGGGCACGAACAUAAGCGACGUGUUUGAUUAUGAUCCUGACUUGUACACCAAGAUGGUUAGGUACCCACUCGAAGUGCUGGCGAUUUUCGACAUUGUUUUGAUGAACAUGGUGGGACAAAUUAACCCCUUGUUUGAAAACCACAUUCAAACUCGGAUUUUCAAUCCCAAGAGCUCCACUUCAAUGAGAAAUCUUAACCCAUCUGGGCAAAUAACUGAACCGAAGAUAUGCUUGAAGGAAGAGUGUCAAGCUAUGGACUCCAUGACACUGGUUCACAACUGAUGCAGGUCAAAAAAUUUGUUGUGAAACAAACGCACCUUUGUACUUGCUGUCCUAUACAUCCGUUUUUGCUGAAUAAUUCUGAAGUUCUUCCACCAAAAAGAAAGGUACAUCAGGCUGAGGGCCUGAGCCCAUCUCUGUCUUAAUGAAUGUUCUAGUUAAUUUGGGGUGAAAAAAUCUGGUUUCAGAAUCUGGCUUCAAUAAUUUAUGAAUGAUGUGGGUAGGUUUUGGUUGUGUGUAAAUUAAAGUUGGGUAGGAAAAAUUAAGGUUGUUAUUGAUGAGGGUAUAUACAUAGGAGAUUGAUGUUGAACUUCAUCUAUUUUAGGUUCAGCAAUCAGCGUGGUGUGAAGUUUUUUUUGGGUGAUUGGGGGUUUACAAUUUGGUUGGGUCAUACAAUUGGCAGUGGAUCUUGGUCAAUCUUGAAUGGUAGGGUGAGUCAUUAAUUUGAGGGUGGGUAGUGGCUUAUUAAUGAUAAGGCCAGGGUUUACAAUUCUGUUUGGGAUGCUGAUUGGUUAAUUCAUGAAAUUGGCGUAUUGGGUCUUGCUUAGUCUUAGGGUAGAUGUCUUAAUAAUGGUGGAGCUUUGCUCAAAGUGUGUAAACAUAACACUGGGUGUGAACUAUACCACAAGAGAUUGAGGGCUUGGUGAAGUAGCAGGGGCCACUAGAAAGAAGAGUAAGAACUUUAUAUACAAAUGAUAUUUGAAGGGAGACCUGCUAGUUAAAGUCCUAUUCACAUGAUUUUUUUAUUUAUUAAAGGAUGAUAUUAUAUUAUGUUCUCCUGUUUUGUUUCACUAUAAUGUUCAAGAGUGACUCAAUAACUUUUUAGCCUUUGUAAUCAAUGUUAAGCUGAAGUUGGAUUUGUGGAAGGUCCUGUAUCGAGGACAGAAAUCAUCUCUUUUUUCUGUGCUCUUUUAAUUAAUUAAAGGAAAUGGAAAAUCUCUGACCCCAAAUUCAACUGGCUGGAUUUAGUUGAUUGGAGUGUAAUUCACCUAAAAGGGAAGAGCUUAACAGCUGUACUUUGUAAAUUAGCUUAAGAAACUAUAUACUGAAGACCAGUUUAUUAAUAGUCAUAAUGAAAGAUGUUAAGGAUUUUCAAUAUUUAAAUUUUGAAUCGUGUGCUGUGUUGUUCUGUAAAUGGAGGAUGAAUGUUUCCCUAGUUUGUAAGGGUGUUUGAUCUUGUUUGAUAGUGUGUUGCAAGGUGGGGAUUUAGAGUUGUGUUUUUUAAAUUAGAUGGAUAGUCUGACUUUAGGUUAAGGAUGGGUUUUGUUUAGCUACAUUUAGCAUUUGGUGUUUUAGGCUUUGAUGUACUACAGCUCUACAUUUUUGCAGGUGUUGUACUUUGUUUGAUGCAAUUAGCUGUUAAGUGUUGUAUCGGUGUUUGUAUCCUAUUCUUUGUUAUUGAGAUGACUGAUUCUUUCCAAAAAAAAAAAAAAAUGUUUAGCUGAUGGAAUUAUUAUCUAGAUAUUCACAUCACAUUCCUUAUACUCAAUAAGUGGGAAGAGUAAAUUGAAGGUUAAUUCUUAGAGUAAAGAAAAGCAUUUAUAAGUUAUUGUUCUCCAUCACAAGCUGUAUUGUUGGAUGGGAAAAGCUUGGUAGGAGUAUCAUUUUUAUUUUCUAUAUUUUCAUUCAAAAAAAGAGUAUCAUUUUAUUUUAAUUUGAACUGUCUUCUUUCCCAUGAAUUAAAUAUUAGAACUCGAUCUAAUGUCUUGUACAUUCUCAUCUUCUCUGUAGGUUGUUAUUGUUUUAGUUUAUAAUCCCUUAGGAUUUGAUGUAGUAGUACGAAUUCUUCUGAGUGCUUCUAUUCUUAGUCUUCCUUGUAAUUGAACUUUUUACUUAAUAUAUUUUUUUGUCAAGUGUAAGUGUUGACCAUCAAGUGUAAUAGUGAAAGUGUUGACCAUCUUUUCCUUCAUUGCCCGGUUGCUUCGGAGCUAUGGGAUAUGGUUUUUGGUUUAUUUGGAGUUAGUUGGGUCAUGCCUUUGUCUGUUUUUGGGCUCUUUGCUUGCUGGCAAGGUCGUUUUGGUCACCAUCGUAAUGGAGAUAUCUGGAAGGUCGUUCCUCUUUGUUUGAUGUGGUGUAUUUGGAAGGAGAGAAAUAGUAGGUGUUUUGAAGACAUUGAGCGUUCCAUGCCUGAUCUCAAGCUUCUUUUUCUCCGAUCCUUAUUUGACUGGUUCUCUGUGUGGAGAAACCAGCCUUUUUCUACUAUUUUGGAUUUACUUGACUCUUGUAAUUUUCGUUUUUAAUUUGUUCACCCCUGUAUACUUCCUGUGUACUUGGGUGUCUCUCUUAUUUUGA